rnacentral:rRNA from 1 species
UACAGAGGUCUCAAGCGUUGUUCGGAUUCAUUGGGCGUAAAGGGUGCGUAGGCGGCGCGGUAAGUCGGGUGUGAAAUUUCGAGGCUUAACUUCGAAACUGCAUUCGAUACUGCCGUGCUUGAGGACUGGAGAGGAGACUGGAAUUUACGGUGUAGCGGUGAAAUGCGUAGAUAUCGUAAGGAAGACCAGUGGCGAAGGCGGGUCUCUGGACAGUUCCUGACACUGAGACACGAAGGCCAGGGGAGCAAACGGGG